CCUACGUGGGGCAGUAGUGAGGAAUAUUGGUCAAUGGGCGCGAGCCUGAACCAGCCACGUAGCGUGAAGGAUGACUGCCCUACGGGUUGUAAACUUCUUUUAUAAAGGAAUAAAGUGAGGCACGUGUGCCUUUUUGUAUGUACUUUAUGAAUAAGGAUCGGCUAACUCCGUGCCAGCAGCCGCGGUAAUACGGAGGAUCCGAGCGUUAUCCGGAUUUAUUGGGUUUAAAGGGAGCGUAGAUGGGUUGUUAAGUCAAUUGUGAAAGUUUGCGGCUCAACCGUAAAAUUGCAAUUGAUACUGGCAGUCUUGAGUACAGUUGAGGUAGGCGGAAUUCGUGGUGUAGCGGUGAAAUGCUUAGAUAUCUCGAAGAACUCCGAUUGCGAAGGCAGCUUACUAAACUGCCACUGACAUUGAUGCUCGAAAGUGUGGGUAUCAAACAGGAUUAGAUACCCGAGUAGUC
rnacentral:rRNA from 1 species